GACGAACGCUGGCGGCGUGCUUAACACAUGCAAGUCGAACGGAAAGGCCCUGCUUUUGUGGGGUGCUCGAGUGGCGAACGGGUGAGUAACACGUGAGUAACCUGCCCUUGACUUUGGGAUAACUUCAGGAAACUGGGGCUAAUACCGGAUAGGAGCUCCUGCUGCAUGGAGGGGGUUGGAAAGUUUCGGCGGUUGUGGAUGGACUCGCGGCUUAUCAGCUUGUUGGUGGGGUAGUGGCUUACCAAGGCUUUGACGGGUAGCCGGCCUGAGAGGGUGACCGGCCUCAUUGGGACUGCGAUACGGCCCAGACUCCUACGGGAGGCAGCGGUGGGGAGUAUGGCACAAUGGGCGGAAGCCUGAUGCAGAAACGCCGCGUGCGGGAUGACGGCCUUCGGGUUGUAAACCGCUUUCGCCUGUGACGAAGCGUGAGUGACGGUAAUGGGUAAAGAAGCACCGGCUAACUACGUG
rnacentral:rRNA from 1 species